GACGAACGCUGGCGGCGUGCUUAACACAUGCAAGUCGAACGGAAAGGCCCUGCUUUUGUGGGGUGCUCGAGUGGCGAACGGGUGAGUAACACGUGAGUAACCUGCCCUUGACUUUGGGAUAACUUCAGGAAACUGGGGCUAAUACCGGAUAGGAGCUCCUGCUGCAUGGUGGGGGUUGGAAAGUUUCGGCGGUUGGGGAUGGACUCGCGGCUUAUCAGCUUGUUGGUGGGGUAGUGGCUUACCAAGGCUUUGACGGGUAGCCGGCCUGAGAGGGUGACCGGCCACAUUGGGACUGAGAUACGGCCCAGACUCCUACGGGAGGCAGCAGUGGGGAGUAGUGCACAAUGGGCGGAAGCCUGAUGCAGCAACGCCGCGUGCGGGAUGACGGCCGUCGGGUUGUGAACCGCUUUCGCCUGUGACGAAGCGUGAGUGACGGUAAUGGGUAAAGAAGCACCGGCUAACUACGUG
rnacentral:rRNA from 1 species